AGGAGCCGUUAUGAGAUGAAAAUCUCAUGUACGGUUCUGCAAUAGGGAUGAGAACAGUGAUGUUCUCAUCUACUAUGAU
rfam:Helianthus annuus unplaced genomic scaffold HanXRQChr00c0495, whole genome shotgun sequence.